GGGGUUAUAGCUCAGCUGGGAGAGCGCUUGAAUGGCAUUCAAGAGGUCAUCGGUUCGAUCCCGAUUAGCUCCA
rnacentral:tRNA from 2 species